GCUAAAAAGCUCGUAGUUGGAUUUUGGUGUUUGACAAACGGUCGGCCUUACGGUUUGUACUGUUUGUUGGCACUUCUUUUCUGGGGAACUCACUGUUCUUAAUUGAAGGGUGUUGUAACGCAGAUCGUUUACUUUGAAAAAAUUAGAGUGUUCAAAGCAGGCCAACGCAUUGAAUACAUUAGCAUGGAAUAAUGGAAUAGGACUUUGGUCUUAUUUUGUUGGUUUCUAAGGCCGAGGUAAUGAUUAAUAGGGAUAGUUGGGGGCGUUUAUAUUCCGUUGUCAGAGGUGAAAUUCUUGGAUUUACGGAAGAUAAACUACUGCGAAAGCAUUCGCCAAGGAUGUUUUCAUUAAUCAAGAACGAAAGUUAGGGGAUCGAAGACGAUCAGAUACCGUCGUAGUCUUAACCAUAAACCAUGCCGACUAGGGAUCAGCAGACGUUCUUUAACGACUCUGUUGGCACCUUGUGAGAAAUCAAGUUUUUGGGUUCCGGGGGGAGUAUGGUCGCAAAGCCUGAAACUUAAAGGAAU
rnacentral:rRNA from 1 species